UUCUUGAAGUAGAGAAGAACUUCUCCAAGAAUGCUCUCUUGCCAUCAUCCCAAGUGGUGAUAGAGUCGCUGGGUAGAGACUUCUCCCACUAACGUGCCUUAUCCCCCAAAGAGAAAGGGAAUAGCUUGAGCUUUAAGGCAUCUUCGGACACACCAUUUGCUUUUGACAACCCACAGUAGCUGUCGAACUUGUCCAAGUGAUCAAAU
rnacentral:lncRNA from 1 species